rnacentral:antisense_RNA from 1 species
GAGGUGGGCAAGUUAGUUGCUCCAAAUACAAGAUAAAGUGAUUGAGUUCUUUUCUCAAGCGGGAGUCGGAGUUUAUCCACUCUUAGAUGCUCCAGAUGGUUUUCUUACAGAGAAACUUCAUUUCAUGCUCGCAGUUGUUUAUUUCCAUGCAUCUAACUCUCAGCCAGGCACUGAAACAGAGCCCCAGCAGCUACUAUUAAUGAGUGUCUGGAAUAUGUUCCUGGCAUUUCACCUACACUCUCUCCAAUCCUUCCAAGAAACUCACAAAGCAGGGCUUUUUCUUGAACUUCUCUUCCUCACAACAGUUAAAUCAUCCAUUUAAAGAUGUCAGACAAGCUCUGUGUUCUAAGAACUGUUUACUGAGCUCUAUGGAGACAUAGCUACAAGCACCACAUGCUGGACCCCUGAAUAUGGAGGGCCAACUACACUAGAAACACACAUGCUAGCUGGGAAAGAUGCUGGCUUAAGG